rnacentral:rRNA from 1 species
GACGAACGCUGGCGGCGUGCUUAACACAUGCAAGUCGAACGGAAAGGCCCUGCUUUUGUGGGGUGCUCGAUUGGCGAACGGGUGAGUAACACGUGAGUAACCUGCCUUUGACUUUGGGAUAACUUCAUGAAACUGGGGCUAAUACCGGAUAGGAGCUCCUGCUGCAUGGUGGUGGUUGGAAAGUUUCGGCGGUUGGUGAUGGACUCGCGGCUUAUCAGCUUGUUGGUUGGGUAGUGUCUUACCAAGGCUUUGAAGGGUAAGCGUGCUGAGGGUGUGACCGGUCGCAUUGGGACGGAGAUAGGUCCGAGACACUUACGGGAGGCAGCAGUGGGGAAUAUAGCACAGUGAGCGGAAGCUUGAUGCAUCAACGACGCGUGAGUGAGUAGGGACUUCGGGUUGGAACACGGUUUCGCGUGUGACGAAGCGUGAGAGUCGGAAAGGGAGAAAGAAGCACAGGUGAACUACUA